rnacentral:lncRNA from 1 species
UUUUGAACUCUUUUUGAAAGUAAUCUUUUAGAAGAAAAGUCUUUGGGGUUAGAUCUCUAAGGUUUUGUAGGAUCUCUUCUAGAUCCUGGUUGCAUUGCCUCAGAUUUUUUAGGUUGGAAAUUUCUUUAUCUUCUUGGUUUUCUUCCCAUACUUCUGGUAUUUGGGGAAGUUGUUGGCUCAUUUAGAGGAUCAUAGGGUUCCAUGGCAUGAAGAAAGAACCCACUAGUAUUGCAUUGGAAGAUUGAGUUGGGAAAAAGGGUAGAGUCAGAAAUAUUUAAGAGGGAAGGUAGAUCUGAUCCUGAGUCUAUAGGUGUACAGAGUUCAUGGAUACUUGGUCCAGAAGGAGGGUUUGUAUCCAUAAUUGGUUGCCCAAUAAGUUGACUGAGUGAUUUAUUACUUCCUUUACUACAUUGGCCAGGUAGUGAGGGUCUUGCAAGGUCAGGAUCAUAGGUUGAUUCCCAAUGCAAACAUUGAGUGUCAUGAGGAAGUCUUGUAGGAGUAGUUCCAACCAGGAUAUUGGCGAGUGAU